rnacentral:rRNA from 1 species
UACAGAGGGGGCAAGCGUUAUUCGGAAUUAUUGGGCGUAAAGGGCGCGUAGGCGGCCUGGCAAGUGGAAGGUGAAAUCCCUCGGCUUAACCGAGGAACUGCCCUCCAAACUGCUUGGCUUGAGUCCGGGAGAGGUGAGUGGAAUUCCCAGUGUAGCGGUGAAAUGCGCAGAUAUCAGGAAGAACACCAAUGGCGAAGGCAGCUCUCUGGGACGGUACUGACGCUGAGACGCGAAAGCGUGGGGAGCGAACAGG